rnacentral:rRNA from 1 species
GACGAACGCUGGCGGCGUGCUUAACACAUGCAAGUCGAGCGGUAAGGCCCUUUCGGGGGUACACGAGCGGCGAACGGGUGAGUAACACGUGGGUGACCUGCCCUCCACUCUGGGAUAAGCCCGGGAAACUGGGUCUAAUACCGGAUAGGACACAUGAUCGCACGGUGGGGCGUGGAAACGUUUUUCGGUGGGGGAUGGUCCCGCGGCCUAUCAGCUUGUUGGUGGGGUGAUGGCCUACCAAGGCGGUGACGGGUAGCCGGCCUGAGAGGGCGACCGGCCACACUGGGACUGAGACACGGCCCAGACUCCUACGGGAGGCAGCAGUGGGGAAUAUUGCGCAAUGGGCGGAAGCCUGACGCAGCGACGCCGCGUGGGGGAUGACGGCCUUCGGGUUGUAAACCUCUUUCGCCAGGGACGAAGCUUUUGUGACGGUACAUGGGGAAGAAGCACCGGCCAACUACGUGCCAGCCGCCGCAGUAA